UACGUAGGGGGCAAGCGUUGUCCGGAUUUAUUGGGCGUAAAGAGCGUGUAGGCGGUUUGGUAGGUCCGUUGUGAAAACUCGAGGCUCAACCUCGAGACGCCGGCGGAAACCAUCAGACUAGAGUCCGGAAGAGGAGAGUGGAAUUCCUGGUGUAGCGGUGAAAUGCGCAGAUAUCGGGAGGAACACCGGUGGCGAAGGCGGUUCUCUGGGCCUUACCUGACGCUGAGGAGCGAAAGCGUGGGGAGCGAACAGG
rnacentral:rRNA from 1 species